rnacentral:rRNA from 1 species
GAUGAACGCUAGCUACAGGCUUAACACAUGCAAGUCGAGGGGCAUCAGGAAGAAAGCUUGCUUUCUUUGAUGGCGACCGGCGCACGGGUGAGUAACACGUAUCCAACCUGCCGAUAACUCGGGGAUAGCCUUUCGAAAGAAAGAUUAAUACCCGAUGGUAUAAUCAGACCGCAUGGUCUUGUUAUUAAAGAAUUUCGGUUAUCGAUGGGGAUGCGUUCCAUUAGGCAGUUGGUGAGGUAACGGCUCACCAAACCUUCGAUGGAUAGGGGUUCUGAGAGGAAGGUCCCCCACAUUGGAACUGAGACACGGUCCAAACUCCUACGGGAGGCAGCAGUGAGGAAUAUUGGUCAAUGGGCGCAGGCCUGAACCAGCCAAGUAGCGUGAAGGAUGACUGCCCUAUGGGUUGUAAACUUCUUUUAUAUGGGAAUAAAGUUUUCCACGUGUGGAAUUUUGUAUGUACCAUAUGAAUAAGGAUCGGCUAACUCCGUGCCAGCAGCCGCGGUAAUACGGAGGAUCCGAGCGUUAUCCGGAUUUAUUGGGUUUAAAGGGAGCGUAGGUGGACAGUUAAGUCAGUUGUGAAAGUUUGCGGCUCAACCGUAAAAUUGCAGUUGAUACUGGCUGUCUUGAGUACAGUAGAGGUGGGCGGAAUUCGUGGUGUAGCGGUGAAAUGCUUAGAUAUCACGAAGAACUCCGAUUGCGAAGGCAGCUCACUGGACUGCAACUGACACUGAUGCUCGAAAGUGUGGGUAUCAAACAGG